UGGGGAAUUUUGGACAAUGGGCGAAAGCCUGAUCCAGCAAUGCCGCGUGUGUGAAGAAGGCCUUCGGGUUGUAAAGCACUUUUGUCCGGAAAGAAAUCCUUGGCUCUAAUACAGUCGGGGGAUGACGGUACCGGAAGAAUAAGCACCGGCUAACUACGUGCCAGCAGCCGCGGUAAUACGUAGGGUGCAAGCGUUAAUCGGAAUUACUGGGCGUAAAGCGUGCGCAGGCGGUUUGCUAAGACCGAUGUGAAAUCCCCGGGCUCAACCUGGGAACUGCAUUGGUGACUGGCAGGCUAGAGUAUGGCAGAGGGGGGUAGAAUUCCACGUGUAGCAGUGAAAUGCGUAGAGAUGUGGAGGAAUACCGAUGGCGAAGGCAGCCCCCUGGGCCAAUACUGACGCUCAUGCACGAAAGCGUGGGGAGCAAACAGGAUUAGAUACCCUGGUAGUCCACGCCCUAAACGACGUCAACUAGUUGUUGGGGAUUCAUUUCUUAGUAACGUAGCUAACGCGUGAAGUUGACCGCCUGGGGAGUACGUCGCAAGAUUAAAACUCAAAGGAAUUGACGGGGUCAUAGCUG
rnacentral:rRNA from 1 species